UACGUAGGCAGCAAGCGUUGUUCGGAGUUACUGGGCGUAAAGGGUGUGUAGGCGGUUCUUUAAGUUUGUCGUGAAAUCUCCCGGCUCAACCGGGAGGGUGCGGCGAAUACUGAGGGGCUAGAGUGCGGGAGAGGAGAGUGGAAUUCCUGGUGUAGCGGUGAAAUGCGUAGAUAUCAGGAGGAACACCGGUGGUGUAAACGGCUCUCUGGACCGUAACUGACGCUGAGACACGAAAAGCGUGGGGAGCAAACAGG
rnacentral:rRNA from 1 species